ACCGGGUUGGUGUAGCGGUUAACAUUACUGUCUCUCAUGGUCAGAGUUUAUCAGCUCUGAUGUGAGAAGCACAGUCGCCCCUGGUUCGAAUCCGGGACUCGGUG